UACGUAGGGGGGCGAGCGUUGUCCGGAUUUAUUGGGCGUAAAGAGCGUGUAGGCGGCCAGGUAGGUCUGCUGUGAAAACUCGAGGCUCAACCUCGAGACGUCGGCGGAAACCAUCUGGCUAGAGUCCGGAAGAGGAGAGUGGAAUUCCCGGUGUAGCGGUGAAAUGCGCAGAUAUCGGGAAGAACACCCGUGGCUAAGGCGGCUCUCUAGUACGGUACUGACGCUGAGACGCGAAAGCGUGGGGAGCGAACAGG
rnacentral:rRNA from 1 species